AAUAAGGUUAUUUUUCUAUUUUCAGAUAUAAUAUUUUGACUCUUCGUCUUAUUUAAAUUUUUUUACGAUUAAUAUUUUUAUUGUUACUAUAUGAUAAAAUAUGAAUAGUACUUUAUGCGUGAUUAUUUUUUAAUUUUUGUACAAAAUUUUCAAAUAAAAUAAAUGGUUAAAGCAUUGGACACAUAAAUCAAAAAAUGACAGUUAUU
rnacentral:pre_miRNA from 1 species